rnacentral:lncRNA from 1 species
CGGCUGUGUCUUACUGCUGGAAAGAGCCCAGCAGACGAAACUUGCGCUUCGAGUGAACUUUGUGCGCAUGCGCUACUCUUGCUGACCUCGUCGCUUCGCGCCGUUAGAAGGUGCUCACUGACCGGCCAGUCGACGCUCGUGCGAUACUGUUAAAGAAUCA